UCUUGGUUGAUUUCUUUUGAUUUCCCCAUGAUGUCAAGCAAAGAGGAACUGAGUUUGAAGAGGGGUGGUGGUGGAGCCCGUGGGGAGCAGAGCAUGGGGCAGGAAAGCCGCCUCUCAAUCGUGGAGCCGGACGGUUCCACCCAGGCAUCCAACCUGGGUACCCUGCGGGUGAGGGGAUUACCCCGAGCCAUUCGGUCCCGAGAUGCCGGACCUAAGCUCUGUCACACAGGACCUCUUUAAGCUCAUUUCCCAGAGCAAGAAACUCCCCACAGCAGUAGUUCAGCCACACAACAUACCUUCAAUCCUCCACACAGCAACAGGGAAGAACAGGGCCCAAAUCUUCCCUCCAGGGCGGUGUCAGUCUUCUCUCAGGGCUGUGUCAGGCCAUGGUGUCUGGCCAUGGUGUCAGGAAGUAUUCCAAGUUACGUGAGACAGAUUCCUCUGUCCAGCCUCAACCAGGCCAUUCAGAAGAUCAACAGUGCCACAGAAAUGUAUUUUGGGACUCUGUUGCCUCAGGUGGUCUUGCAGGGUUUCUGAUGGAGGAGCUGAAGAGGAUCACGGGGGUGGGCAUCAAAGCCCCCAUGUACUUUAGGUGUCUGACUGAGCUGAAGAGGUUGUAGCAUGUGCAGGGAGUAGGUACCAGCGCCAUGUAUAAAAUCCUGUCACAGACGCAUACCUGAUCGGAAUUAAAAUGACAUUCCCUACGUUCUUAAACCUCCCAAAUGACUCGACACUACUGAGUGAGGAUCCAUUUACUGACCAUCAUUUGAGUAGGCCUUGACUUUUUGUUGUUACAUUACAGCCUUAUAUUAAAAUUGAUUCAAUUAUUUGUUUUCCUCAUCACCUCACAAUACCCCACAAGGAGUUAAUUUUAUUCUUCUCUAUAGAUCCUCUCAAGCUCUGUCAGGUUGGAUAUGGAGCAUCGCUGCACAGCUAUUUUCAGGUCUCUACAGAGAAGUCCGGGCUCUGGCUGGGCCACUAAAGGACAUUCAGAAGCUUGUCC